rnacentral:rRNA from 1 species
GAUGAACGCUGGCGGCGUGCCUAAUACAUGCAAGUCGAGCGAACAGACGAGGAGCUUGCUCCUCUGACGUUAGCGGCGGACGGGUGAGUAACACGUGGAUAACCUACCUAUAAGACUGGGAUAACUUCGGGAAACCGGAGCUAAUACCGGAUAAUAUAUUGAACCGCAUGGUUCAAUAGUGAAAGACGGUUUUGCUGUCACUUAUAGAUGGAUCCGCGCCGCAUUAGCUAGUUGGUAAGGUAACGGCUUACCAAGGCAACGAUGCGUAGCCGACCUGAGAGGGUGAUCGGCCACACUGGAACUGAGACACGGUCCAGACGCUUACGGGAGGCAGCAGUAGGGAAUCUUCCGCAGAGGGCGAAAGCCUGACGGAGCAACGCCGCGUGAGUGAUGAAGGUCUUCGGAUCGUAAAACUCUGUUAUUAGGGAAGAACAAAUGUGUAAGUAACUAUGCACGUCUUGACGGUACCUAAUCAGAAAGCCACGGCUAACUACGUG